GUGCUGGCUUCAGCAGCACAUAUACUAAAAUUGGAACCAUACACAGAAGAUUAGUAUGGCCCCCGCACAAGUAUGACAUGCUUUGUGAAGCCGUCCAUAUUUUU